CCUACGGGGGGCAGCAGUGAGGAAUAUUGGUCAAUGGGCGCGAGUCUGAACCAGCCAAGUAGCGUGAAGGAUGACUGCCCUACGGGUUGUAAACUUCUUUUAUAUGGGAAUAAAGUGUUCCACGUGUGGCUUUUUGUAUGUACCAUAUGAAUAAGGAUCGGCUAACUCCGUGCCAGCAGCCGCGGUAAUACGGAGGAUCCGAGCGUUAUCCGGAUUUAUUGGGUUUAAAGGGAGCGUAGGUGGGUUGUUAAGUCAGUUGUGAAAGUUUGCGGCUCAACCGUAAAAUUGCAGUUGAUACUGGCAGCCGUGAGUACAGUAGAGGUAGGCGGAAUUCGUGGUGUAGCGGUGAAAUGCUUAGAUAUCACGAAGAACUCCGAUUGCGAAGGCAGCUUACUGGACUGCAACUGACAUUGAGGCUCGAAAGUGUGGGUAUCAAACAGGAUUAGAUACCCUUGUAGUC
rnacentral:rRNA from 1 species